rnacentral:rRNA from 1 species
CUGGCGGCAGGCCUAAUACAUGCAAGUCGAGCGCGCCCUUCGGGGUGAGCGGCGGACGGGUGAGUAACGCGUGGGAAUAUGCCCUUCUCUAAGGAAUAGCCUCUGGAAACGGAGAGUAAUACCUUAUACGCCCUUUGGGGGAAAGAUUUAUCGGAGAAGGAUUAGCCCGCGUUAGAUUAGGUAGUUGGUGGGGUAAUGGCCUACCAAGCCUACGAUCUAUAGCUGGUUUGAGAGGAUGAUCAGCCACACUGGGACUGAGACACGGCCCAGACUCCUACGGGAGGCAGCAGUAGGGAAUCUUAGACAAUGGGGGCAACCCUGAUCUAGCCAUGCCGCGUGUGUGAUGAAGGCCCUAGGGUCGUAAAGCACUUUCGCCAGAGAUGAUAAUGACAGUAUCUGGUAAAGAAACCCCGGCUAACUCCGUGCCAGCAGCCGCGGUAAUACGGAGGGGGUUAGCGUUGUUCGGAAUUACUGGGCGUAAAGCGCACGUAGGCGGAUUAGUAAGUUAGAGGUGAAAUCCCAGGGCUCAACCCUGGAACUGCCUUUAAUACUGCUAGUCUUGAGUUCGAGAGAGGUAAGUGGAAUUCCGAGUGUAGAGGUGAAAUUCGUAGAUAUUCGGAGGAACACCAGUGGCGAAGGCGGCUUACUGGCUCGAUACUGACGCUGAGGUGCGAAAGUGUGGGGAGCAAACAGGAUUAGAUACCCUGGUAGUCCACACCGUAAACGAUGAAUGCCAGACGUCAGCAAGUAUACUUGUUGGUGUCACACCUAACGGAUUAAGCAUCC